rnacentral:rRNA from 1 species
GCGGUAAUUCAAGCUCCAAUAGCGUAUAUGUAAAUUGUUGCGGUUGAAAAGCUCGUAGUUGGACUUCUGGCGACCGCGUUCGGUCCGCCAAGCGCGUGCACUGUCCGCGGUCGUCGUUUCUGUCGACGUGGCGCGUCGGCCUUAGUUGGUCGGUGCGUCGUCUGUCGGCGAUGUUACUUUGAGGAAAUCAGAGUGCUCAAGGCAAGCGUUCGCUCGUGACUUCACUAGCAUGGAAUAACACAGAUGGGCUCUUUCUCGCACUGUUGGUCUGCGUCAAUUGAGCAACGAUCGAUAGAGACGGUCGGGGGCAUUCGUAUUGCGCAGUUAGAGGUGAAAUUCUCCGAUCUGCGCAAGACGCACUAAUGCGAAAGCAGUUGCCAAGGACGUCCUCUUAUGAUCAAGAGCGAAAGUCGGGGGAUCAAAGAUGAUUAGAUACCGUCGUAGUCCCGACCAUAAAUGAUGCCGACUGAGCUUCGGCGACUCGACCUCAGGUCGUACGUCGGCGCUCUUAGAGAAAUUAAAGUCUUUGGGCUCCGGGGGUAGUAUGGUCGCAAGUCUGAAACUUGAAGGAAUUGACGGAAGGGCACCACAAGGCGUGGAUGUUGCGGCUUAAUUUGACUCAACACGGGAAAGCUUACUAGGUUUGGACACCUUUGUGAUGGACAGAUUGAAGCUCUUACCCUACUGCGUGGAUGGUGGUGCAUGGUCGUUCUCAGCCCGUGGGUUGACCUGUCAGGUUUACUCCGGUAACGCGCGAGACCUCGGUCUGCUAAAUAGACGCGGCUGUUCCGGCACCCGCGCUCUUCUUAGAGAGAGACUCGACGAGAGUCGAGGGAAGUCGAGGCAAUAACAGAUCUGUGAUGCCCUUAGUUAUCCUAGGUCGCACGCGCCAUACAAUGUGGCGCACAACGAGUCUCCUUGGCCGACAGGAUCUGGGCAAUCUGGCAGAGCGCUACGUGACUGGGCUAGACUUUUGUAAUUUUUGGUCUUGAACGAGGAAUGCCUAGUAAUCGCAGGUCAGCAUCCUGCGAUGAUUCGGUCCCUGCCCUUUGUACACACCGCCCGUCGCUCCAUCCGUGGCAUGCGCCGGUGAAGAGGGGGAGGCAGCGUCGGCCGGGUAACACCGGAUCGUACGUGGAACCCCUCUGAACCUUCGCACGUAGAGGAAGGAGAAGUCGUAACAAGGUUUUCGUAGGUGAACCUGCGAAAGGAUCAUUAUCGGCACA